rnacentral:lncRNA from 1 species
AUACCUCCUACAAAAAAAUCUCCUUCAUCCCUCUCCAGAUGAGGAAAAGAGGAAAUACAAGAAGUGCCUGGUACAGAGCUCCAGUUCCUACUUCAGGGAUGUGAAAUGCCCAGGAUGCUGUAAUCAUCAUGAUCAUUAAUCAUGCACACACAGUAGUGGUGUGUGUUCGCUGCUCUACCGUUCUCUGUCAGUCUACAGGAGGCAAAGCAAGGCUGACAGAAGGAUGCUCCUUCAGGAGGAAGCAGCAGUAA